rnacentral:lncRNA from 1 species
GAGCACAAAAACAAACAAGUAACAAGAAACAAGUCGACAAACAUGUCGCCACUAACGCGACCUGCAGGCAGGUCCAGCGACCCCCGCAGAAAGGACAGUUAAAUCUCAAGUGGCUUUCCCCAGUGAACAGUUGCAUCUCUCCCGGCCCCAAACAGUAAAAUCCUUCAGUGUCUUUCCCUUCGGCAACCCCCUUGCAGUAGUCUUGUCACCAGUUAUCCGAUCCGAGACCCGCAGAUUUCCGAGCGCAGAGCGUCAUCCAUUCGUGAAUCCGGAAUGUUACUUAAACCACCAGAGGCUUCAACCACCUUUGACGGCUCUAAUAAUCGCUCUGGCGUUCGAUCCUCCA